rnacentral:sRNA from 1 species
CCUCCCAGACUAGUUCCGACCGCACGAAGCGUACGAUCUGGGAGCUGUCUCGGAGAGAGACUCGGCGAAAUAGAAUUGUCUGUGAAGAUACGGACUACCUGCACCUGGACAGAAAGACCCUAUGAAGCUUUACAUAGCCUGGAAUUGUGUUCGGGCUUCGCUUACGCAGGAUAGGUGGGAGGCUGUGAAGUUCUAGCUUGUGGGCAGAAUCGAGCCACCGUUGGGAUACCACCCCUGUAGUACUGGGACUCUAACCAGAGGCCUUGAAUCAGGUCUUGGGACACUGUCAGGCGGGCAGUUUGACUGGGGCGGUCGCCUCCCAAAGGUAACGGAGGCGCUCAAAGGUUCUCUCAGCACGGUCGGAAAUCGUGCAUAGAGUGUAAAGGCAUAAGAGAGCUUGGAUUGCAAGACAUACCUAGGUCGAGCAAGGACGAAAGUACGGACUUAGUGAUCCGGUGGUUCUGAGUGGAAGG